GUAGGAGGAAACGCUGUUCUGCGCUUAAUUCUUUCCACAUUGACUCGCAGCCAGCCAGGGGUCCGGGCAGUGCAUGGCGAGCCCUUCCUCCGGGAGGGAGCUCUGCCUGGCGCGGAUGGCGAGCGACGGCUUUAGCCGGGGGGGCUGGAGCACUCGACGGGAGGAGGCGAUUUAAGGCGGUGGCGGGGGGAGCGACAUAACCCCCGCGAGAGAGGCGAGGAGUCCGACAGGGGCACCCGGGAGCAAUCGCCCAACAGUAACAGUCUGGUCUACUAUUUCCUACAUUCUGGUCUCUGGCAAUCGCUGCAAUGCUUGUCAAAAGUCACCAUUUUAUCACGUCGUUUUCUGCAAAGAGGGUUGAAUACAGUUAAGUGACCUCUACAAAAGACUCCCUCUUUGAAGUGUUCUCUAAAGACAUCUUCAAGGCAGCUGAGUGUCUCAGACUGUGAUUUUGUAAGGUUUUGAUGCUAGAAAAUUGUUUAACAAACAGCUCAAAAAUAUUUAGAUUUUGAUUAAUAACACACAGUCCCGUUGUAUUUAAAUAAUAUAAAGUAUGAAACCUAACAUGUGGCAGAAGAGUAUGUGUUCCACAUGGUUAGGAGAAUAGGAAUGGGGACAUACCAAUAUCUGAGCAGGAAGGAAAUAGUUAUGCAAAGCCAAUUAAACAAUUCUUUAGGAAUAUAUUAAACCGUUGUCUCUACUUACGCCAAAACUUUUCCUCCAACUUUGUGGUUAGAAAGGAUGCUGCUUCAGCAGUGGAGGGAGUUCUGGUUAGCCUUGCUUUGUUCUUCAAAUGACCACAAUGUGUAUGAAUCUGAGAACCCUGGAUUUGGUUAACACUGACUUCCCAGCAGAGAACAGUUUGGGGAUAUUAGCCAAAUUAUUUAGUAUAUGUAGUAUAUGAAUAAUACUAAGGUAACUCAGGAAAAAUAGUUGAGUAUAACCAUCUGGAAGAGAAUGCUGAUACUGAAAUCACAGGGGCUCAGAACCUUUGACCAUAGUUAAAUUCUUGUAUAGUCUCACUAUCUUCUCAAAUCUUGAAACUUUACUCAUAAAAGCAGCUUUACUGUGCCAAAAGAAGUUUUACUCUGUCUAAGGAAGUAAAAUACUACUAUAUGUGGAGUCUUGCCAAUGAAAGGACUUGGGCUGAUGUUAAGAGAUACUGAACUGGCCUACAUAGAAGGGUUAAUUUAAAAAUCCCACUUCAUUUAUACCCUAAUUGCUAGUUAGUAGAUUAGGAUCACACCUAAUCUCAUAGUAAUUAUAUAUUAGCUGUAUAUAUUAGCUCUAGGAUGAGAUCUGAUGUUUGAAAACAAGUAUUUA